rnacentral:rRNA from 1 species
CUAGCACAUGCAGUCGAGCGGAACGAUCCUAGCUUGCUAGGAGGCGUCGAGCGGCGGACGGGUGAGUAAUGCAUAGGAAUCUGCCCGGUAGUGGGGGAUAACUUGAGGAAACUCAAGCUAAUACCGCAUACGCCCUACGGGGGAAAGCAGGGGCUCUUCGGACCUUGCGCUAUCGGAUGAGCUUAUGUCGGAUUAGCUAGUUGGUGAGGUAAUGGCUCACCAAGGCGACGAUCCGUAGCUGGUCUGAGAGGAUGAUCAGCCACAUCGGGACUGAGACACGGCCCGAACUACUACGGGAGGCAGCAGUGGGGAAUAUUGGACAAUGGGGGCAACCCUGAUCCAGCCAUGCCGCGUGUGUGAAGAAGGCCCUCGGGUUGUAAAGCACUUUCAGUGAGGAAGAACGCCUGUCGGUUAAUACCCGGCAGGGGAGACAUCACUCACAGAAGAAGCACCGGCUAACUCCGUGCCAGCAGCCGCGGUAAUACGGAGGGUGCGAGCGUUAAUCGGAAUUACUGGGCGUAAAGCGUGCGUAGGCGGCUUGGUAAGCCGGUUGUGAAAGCCCCGGGCUCAACCUGGGAAUGGCAUCCGGAACUGUCAGGCUAGAGUGCAGGAGAGGAAGGUAGAAUUCCCGGUGUAGCGGUGAAAUGCGUAGAGAUCGGGAGGAAUACCAGUGGCGAAGGCGGCCUUCUGGACUGACACUGACGCUGAGGUACGAAAGCGUGGGUAGCAAACAGGAUUAGAUACCCUGGUAGUCCACGCCGUAAACGAUGUCGACUAAGCCGUUGGGGGUCCUCGAGACCUUUUGGUGGCGCAGUUAAACGCACUAAGGUCGACCCGCCUGGGGGAGUACGGGCCGCAAGGGUUAAAACUCAAAUGGAAUUGGACGGGGGGCCCCGCACAAGGCGGGGGGAGCAUGGUGGUUUAAUUUCGAUGGCACCGCGAA